rnacentral:lncRNA from 1 species
GCCAGUUUUGACUUUAAUAUAUAUAUAUAUAUAUUUAUAUAUGUUAUAUAUAUAUAUAUAUAUAAGAUAUCGAGCGUUAUUAUUCUGGUAUAUAAAAAAAGGAAAAGAGCGUUGACCGUAACUACACUUUUCCCUUUCUCUCUGUCAAUGGGAAAAAUGCGAUUGGGUUGACAUACUCGGCUACAUUGGAGCGAAAGAAUGAUAGGCAGAGACGAGAUAAACCGUUUGAGACGAAAUGACAUUUUCACAGUCCAGCAAUGUCGUGUUUGUGUGCUAAUCCCUCCGGAUCACGUGAUUCUCCCUCCUCUCAAUAAGGUUGAUGCUAUGCGGAUACAAUGGAGAGAGAGAGAGGGGGGAAGACGUUUCAUCGUGUCUUCUUUCACGCUGCAGACCACUUACGAACAUUGGAAGUUUUUUUUUUUUUUUGUUAUCAUCGACAAGGAUGGACAUCCAUAAAUUGCAUGGCCGAAACCGCUCUAAUGGAAUUCUGUUGCUUGUAUUACGCUAUCUUCUCGCUUCUUUCAUACCCGUAUAUCACUGGUAAUUGUUUAUCUAGAGUCCAAACCGAAUUCAUUUGAAUACAUAAAAGUUUGUUUAUCCCGUUUUGUAACGGCCAUUGGAGUAGAAUUUUUACUAGAGAAACUGUUAAUAGCCAUAAAAUACGACUGGUGACUUCAAUUCUUUACUUCUCUAGAAUUAUCGAUGAGUUUGGAGGAGUGCAGAUCAUGCGGUGACCACUUCACGUGUUAAAUACGUGAAGAGAUAACUGAUGCAAUUAGCACGCAACACCCCCCUUCAGACUCACGAAAGGCAUUUGAUUUCAAUCGGAAAAGUUGAAGAGUCGAUCGAUCCGGUAGCAUCACUAGCUGAUUCAUUUGAAAUCAGUCGAUAUAUAGACAUGUCAGUGUUGCGAUUCAUCGAGUUCUUGUGUACUCAACUUUUCAUGUCUCCAAUGUAACAACACCACUUACUUUACCUGGUUUUAUCGUCCUCUACUUCUACUUACAACGUAUCCCGUUUAAAUUUGCCAUUAUUCUAACAUCACAGCGAGCCGAACUAAUGGAAUAAUUGCCGAUAUACACAUUUGUUAAUUGCUAAUUAGCAUUUUGUGUGUAGCGAAUCUAUUCGCCUAUCAUUUUGCCAAACGAGAAGGAGAGAAAAUGCAAUUUUUGAACCAGUUUCGGUGGGGAAAAAUUGGCAAAAAUAUUUAUAUAAAAAAAAAAAAGAAAAAAUAGUAGCAUCUGGUUGAUAUUAUUAAAACCGUAUAUAUCCAACUCUCUCUCGCUUUAAUAAAGUCGAAAAAAUGAUUUAUAAAGUUGGGUUUUUGCCCCAUCUGAUCGUUUAACUUCUAAAGUAAUUUUCGUAGUUUGGACAUCCGAUCGAUGUUUUAUUUUAUUUUUUAUUUAUUUAUUUUUAUCCAC